UGAGGUUGAUGAUGUACAGGUUGGAAAUAUUGGCGCACAGCUGGGGUUCAUUGAUGACGUACCGGAAAGGAAACUGACCAUCGUGUGCCGUGGUUGCCUGCUGGGCGCCUUGCUGGCUGACGGUGCUGACUCCAAGCCCUGCACUGCAUGAACUCUACUCGUUCUACCUGCCCACCUGCAAAGAAUGGCUUCUCAGCAUGCGCCUCCCACACCCACGGACGCCCGCAGCCCACGACCCUUGAUGAGACUCACGGACCUGGACAUCUGUUAAUCAUCCUGGAGAGAAGAUUCCUCCUCCUCCUCCUCCUCCUCCUUCUUCUCUUCUCCUCCUCUUCCUCCUCCGUCGCCGCCGCUUCCUCUCUUCUCAGCGAUGAAAAGAUCUCCCAUUUUGAAGGAGAGCGAGGGCUUGACGUUGAGCCCAUCACCGGAGGCCUACAAGACGGAUGAGGACCCUCCCUACCUGGCACAAAACACCUGAAUCGAAGAUCCCCGUGGCGCAUCUCCUCACACACCUGUCCUGGCUAGGUAAGCACAGGCAUCCCCCUCACACCUGCGUGACGUCAUCAGCGCCAGGUGGGCCGUUGCUAAUUA